rnacentral:rRNA from 1 species
CGCGGCCUAUCAGCUUGUUGGUGGGGUAGUGGCCUACCAAGGCGACGACGGGUAGCCGGCCUGAGAGGGCGACCGGCCACACUGGGACUGAGACACGGCCCAGACUCCUACGGGAGGCAGCAGUGGGGAAUAUUGCGCAAUGGGCGAAAGCCUGACGCAGCGACGCCGCGUGAGGGAUGACGGCCUUCGGGUUGUAAACCUCUUUCAGCAGGGAAGAAGCGAAAGUGACGGUACCUGCAGAAGAAGCACCGGCUAACUACGUGCCAGCAGCCGCGGUAAUACGUAGGGUGCGAGCGUUGUCCGGAAUUAUUGGGCGUAAAGAGCUCGUAGGCGGCCUGUCGCGUCGGAUGUGAAAACUCGGGGCUUAACCCCGAGCCUGCAUUCGAUACGGGCAGGCUAGAGUUCGGCAGGGGAGACUGGAAUUCCUGGUGUAGCGGUGAAAUGCGCAGAUAUCAGGAGGAACACCGGUGGCGAAGGCGGGUCUCUGGGCCGAUACUGACGCUGAGGAGCGAAAGCGUGGGGAGCGAACAGGAUUAGAUACCCUGGUAGUCCACGCCGUAAACGUUGGGAACUAGGUGUGGGCGACAUUCCACGUCGUCCGUGCCGCAGCUAACGCAUUAAGUUCCCCGCCUGGGGAGUACGG